GAGUUUGAUCCUGGCUCAGGAUGAACGCUGGCGGCGUGCCUAAUACAUGCAAGUCGAACGAAUCUUCUUCGGAAGAUGAGUGGCGAACGGGUGAGUAAUACAUAGGUAACCUGCCCCUGUGCGGGGGAUAACAGGAGGAAACUCCUGCUAAUACCGCAUAGCCAUGAGCACCGCAUGGAGCUCAUGCCAAAUAUCCUUCAGGGGAUAGCGCAGGGAUGGACCUAUGGCGCAUUAGCUAGUUGGCGGGGCAACGGCCCACCAAGGCAACGAUGCGUAGCCGGCCUGAGAGGGCGGACGGCCACAUUGGGACUGAGACACGGCCCAGACUCCUACGGGAGGCAGCAGUAGGGAAUUUUCGGCAAUGGGGGAAACCCUGACCGAGCAACGCCGCGUGAGCGAAGAAGGCCUUCGGGUCGUAAAGCUCUGUUGUAAAGGAAGAACGUCGCAUACAGGAAAUGGUGUGCGAGUGACGGUACUUUACCAGAAAGCCACGGCUAACUACGUGCCAGCAGCCGCGGUAAUACGUAGGUGGCGAGCGUUAUCCGGAAUCAUUGGGCGUAAAGAGGGAGCAGGCGGCCGCAAGGGUCUGUGGUGAAAGACCGAAGCUAAACUUCGGUAAGCCAUGGAAACCGGGCGGCUAGAGUGCGGAAGAGGAUCGUGGAAUUCCAUGUGUAGCGGUGAAAUGCGUAGAUAUAUGGAGGAACACCAGUGGCGAAGGCGACGGUCUGGGCCGCAACUGACGCUCAUUCCCGAAAGCGUGGGGAGCAAAUAGGAUUAGAUACCCUAGUAGUCCACGCCGUAAACGAUGGUCACUAAGUGUCGGGGGUCAAACCCCGGUGCUGCAGUCAACGCAAUAAGUGACCCGCCUGAGUAGUACGUUCGCAAGAAUGAAACUCAAAUGAAUUGACGGAAGG
rnacentral:rRNA from 1 species